rnacentral:rRNA from 1 species
CGGCGGACGGGUGAGUAAUGCCUAGGAAAUUGCCCUGAUGUGGGGGAUAACCAUUGGAAACGAUGGCUAAUACCGCAUGAUGCCUACGGGCCAAAGAGGGGGACCUUCGGGCCUCUCGCGUCAGGAUAUGCCUAGGUGGGAUUAGCUAGUUGGUGAGGUAAGGGCUCACCAAGGCGACGAUCCCUAGCUGGUCUGAGAGGAUGAUCAGCCACACUGGAACUGAGACACGGUCCAGACUCCUACGGGAGGCAGCAGUGGGGAAUAUUGCACAAUGGGCGCAAGCCUGAUGCAGCCAUGCCGCGUGUGUGAAGAAGGCCUUCGGGUUGUAAAGCACUUUCAGUCGUGAGGAAGGUAGUGUAGUUAAUAGCUGCAUUAUUUGACGUUAGCGACAGAAGAAGCACCGGCUAACUCCGUGCCAGCAGCCGCGGUAAUACGGAGGGUGCGAGCGUUAAUCGGAAUUACUGGGCGUAAAGCGCAUGCAGGUGGUUUGUUAAGUCAGAUGUGAAAGCCCGGGGCUCAACCUCGGAAUUGCAUUUGAAACUGGCAGACUAGAGUACUGUAGAGGGGGGUAGAAUUUCAGGUGUAGCGGUGAAAUGCGUAGAGAUCUGAAGGAAUACCGGUGGCGAAGGCGGCCCCCUGGACAGAUACUGACACUCAGAUGCGAAAGCGUGGGGAGCAAACAGGAUUAGAUACCCUGGUAGUCCACGCCGUAAACGAUGUCUACUUGGAGGUUGUGGCCUUGAGCCGUGGCUUUCGGAGCUAACGCGUUAAGUAGACCGCCUGGGGAGUACGGUCGCAAGAUUAAAACUCAAAUGAAUUGACGGGGGCCCGCACAAGCGGUGGAGCAUGUGGUUUAAUUCGAUGCAACGCGAAGAACCUUACCUACUCUUGACAUCCAGAGAACUUUCCAGAGAUGGAUUGGUGCCUUCGGGAACUCUGAGACAGGUGCUGCAUGGCUGUCGUCAGCUCGUGUUGUGAAAUGUUGGGUUAAGUCCCGCAACGAGCGCAACCCUUAUCCUUGUUUGCCAGCGAGUAAUGUCGGGAACUCCAGGGAGACUGCCGGUGAUAAACCGGAGGAAGGUGGGGACGACGUCAAGUCAUCAUGGCCCUUACGAGUAGGGCUACACACGUGCUACAAUGGCGCAUACAGAGGGCAGCCAACUUGCGAAAGUGAGCGAAUCCCAAAAAGUGCGUCGUAGUCCGGAUUGGAGUCUGCAACUCGACUCCAUGAAGUCGGAAUC